UACAGAGGUCUCAAGCGUUGUUCGGAUUCAUUGGGCGUAAAGGGUGCGUAGGCGGCGCGGUAAGUCGGGUGUGAAAUCUCGGAGCUUAACUCCGAAACUGCAUUCGAUACUGCCGUGCUUGAGGACUGGAGAGGAGACUGGAAUUUACGGUGUAGCGGUGAAAUGCGUAGAUAUCGUAAGGAAGACCAGUGGCGAAGGCGGGUCUCUGGACAGUUCCUGACGCUGAUGCACGAAGGCCAGGGGAGCAAAUGGG
rnacentral:rRNA from 1 species